rnacentral:misc_RNA from 1 species
GAUGAAGAACGCAGCGAAAUGCGAUAAGUAGUGUGAAUUGCAGAAUUCAGUGAAUCAUCGAAUCUUUGAACGCACAUUGCGCCCCUUGGUAUUCCAUGGGGCAUGCCUGUUCGAGCGACAUUUGUACCUUCAAGCUCUGCUUGGUGUUGGGUGUUUGUCUCGCCUCUGCGUGUAGACUCGCCUCAAAACAAUUGGCAGCCGGCGUAUUGAUUUCGGAGCGCAGUACAUCUCGCGCUUUGCACUCAUAACGACGACGUCCAAAAGUACAUUUUUACACUCUUGACCUCGGAUCAGGUAGGGAUACCCGCUGAACUUAAGCAUAUCAAUAAGCGGAGGA